GACGGAGGGGGCCAGCGUUGUCCGGAAUUACUGGGCGUAAAGCGCACGUAGGCGGAGGCGUACGGCGGUGGUGAAAGCUCCCGGCUCAACUGGGAGAGGCCCGCCGCAACGGCGCCCCUUGAGGGUGGUAGAGGCGGAUGGAAUUCCUGGUGUAGCGGUGAAAUGCGUAGAGAUCAGGAGGAACACCCGUGGCGAAGGCGGUCCGCUGGGCCAUGCCUGACGCUGAGGUGCGAAAGCCAGGGGAG
rnacentral:rRNA from 1 species